rnacentral:rRNA from 1 species
GAUGAACGCUGGCGGCGUGCCUAAUACAUGCAAGUCGAGCGAACAGACGAGGAGCUUGCUCCUCUGACGUUAGCGGCGGACGGGUGAGUAACACGUGGAUAACCUACCUAUAAGACUGGGAUAUCUUCGGGAAACCGGAGAUAAUACCGGAUAAUAUAUUGAACCGCAUGGUUCAAUAGUGAAAGUCGGUUUUGCUGUCACUUAUAGAUGCAUCCGGGCCGCAUUAGCUGGUUGUUAAGGUAAAGGCUUACCACGGCGACGAUGCGUAGCCGACCUGAUAGAGGGAUAGCCCACACGGGAACUGAGACACGGUCCAGACUCCUACGAGACGCAGCAGAAGGGAAUCUGCCGCAGUGGUCGAAAACCUGACGGAGCAACGCCGCGUGAGAGAUGAAGAUCUUCGGUGCGUAAAACUCGGUUAUGAGGGAAAAACAAAUGUGGAAGUAACCAUGCACUUCUUGACGGUACCGAGUCAGAAAGCCACGGCUAACUACGUG